GAAACGACUGCUAAGACUGGAUAGGAGAUAAGAAGGCAUCUUCUUAUUUUUAAAAGACCUAGCAAUAGGUAUGCUUAGGGAAGAGCUUGCGUCACAUUAGUUAGUUGGUGGGGUAAUGGCCUACCAAGACGAUGAUGUGUAGCCGGGCUGAGAGGUCGAACGGCCACAUUGGGACUGAGACACGGCCCAAACUCCUACGGGAGGCAGCAGUAAGGAAUUUUCGGCAAUGGAGGAAACUCUGACCGAGCAAUGCCGCGUGAACGAUGAAGUAUUUUGGUACGUAAAGUUCUUUUAUUAGGGAAGAAAAGAUGGUGGAAAAACCAUUAUGACGGUACCUAAUGAAUAAGCCCCGGCUAACUAUGUGCCAGCAGCCGCGGUAAUACAUAGGGGGCAAGCGUUAUCCGGAAUUAUUGGGCGUAAAGGGUGCGUAGGCGGUUAAAUAAGUUUAUGGUCUAAGUGCAACGCUCAACGUUGUGAUGCUAUAAAAACUGUUUAGCUAGAGUUGGAUAGAGGCAAGUGGAAUUCCGUGUGUAGUGGUAAAAUGCGUAAAUAUACGGAGGAACACCAGAAGCGAAGGCGGCUUGCUGGGUCUUAACUGACGCUGAGGCACGAAAGCGUGGGGAGCAAACAGGAUUAGAUACCCUGGUAGCCACGCCCUAAACGAUGAGUACUAAACGUUGGAUAAAACCAGUGUUGAAGUUAACACAUUAAGUACUCCGCCUGAGUAGUACGUACGCAAGUAUGAAACUUAAAGGAAUUGACGGGACUCCGCACAAGCGGUGGAUCAUGUUGUUUAAUUCGAAGGUACCCGAAAAACCUCACCAGGUCUUGACAUGCUUUUGCAAAGCUGUAGAAAUACAGUGGAGGUUAUCAGAAGCACAGGUGGUGCAUGGUUGUCGUCAGCUCGUGUCGUGAGAUGUUGGGUUAAGUCCCGCAACGAGCGCAACCCUUGUUGUUAAUUGCCAUCAUUAAGUUGGGGACUUUAGCAAGACUGCCAAUGAUAAAUUGGAGGAAGGUGGGGACGACGUCAAAUCAUCAUGCCCCUUAUGACCUGGGCUACAAACGUGAUACAAUGGCUGUUACAAAGGGUAGCUAAAGCGUAAGCUUCUGGCGAAUCUCAAAAAAGCAGUCUCAGUUCGGAUUGAAGUCUGCAACUCGACUUCAUGAAGUUGGAAUCGCUAGUAAUCGCGAAUCAGCAUGUCGCGGUGAAUACGUUCUCGGGGUUUGUACACACCGCCCGUCAAA
rnacentral:rRNA from 1 species